rnacentral:rRNA from 1 species
UCGGGAAUUUUGCGCAAUGGACGAAAGUCUGACGCAGCAACGCCGCGUGAGGGAUGACGGCCUUCGGGUUGUAAACCUCUUUUGUCAGGGACGAUGAUGACGGUACCUGACGAAUAAGCCACGGCUAACUACGUGCCAGCAGCCGCGGUAAUACGUAGGUGGCAAGCGUUGUCCGGAUUUACUGGGCGUAAAGAGCGCGCAGGCGGUCGCUCAAGUCGCGUGUGAAAGCCCCCGGCUCAACUGGGGAGGGUCACGCGAUACUGAUCGACUCGAAGGCAGGAGGGGGAGGUAGUGGAAUUCCCGGUGUAGUGGUGAAAUGCGUAGAUAUCGGGAGGAACACCAGUGGCGAAGGCGACUACCUGGCCUGUUUCUUGACGCUGAGGCGCGAAAGCUAGGGGAGCAAACGGGAUUAGAUACCCCGGUAGUCCUAGCCGUAAACGAUGGACACUAGGUGUUGGUGGUAUCAACCCCGCCAGUGCCGAAGCUAACGCAUUAAGUGUCCCGCU